CAGCCGCCGCGGGAAAACGGAGGGGGCUAGCGUUGUUCGGAAUUACUGGGCGUAAAGCGUGCGUAGGCGGCUUCUUAAGUCGGAUGUGAAAUCCCUGAGCUUAACUUAGGAAUUGCAUUCGAUACUGGGAAGCUAGAGUAUGGGAGAGGAUGGUAGAAUUCCAGGUGUAGCGGUGAAAUGCGUAGAGAUCUGGAGGAAUACCGAUGGCGAAGGCAGCCAUCUGGCCUAAUACUGACGCUGAGGUACGAAAGCAUGGGGAGCAAACAGGAUUAGAUACCCCCGUAGUCCCUGUCUCUUAUAU
rnacentral:rRNA from 1 species